GAAAAUAACAACUGGAUGACGAUCGGAGAGUUUCUAUAUCAGCCUCCAGAGAUUCAUCCUGCAGUUCAUCUCCUCCUCGAAAGCAUAAGCAUCAGGGAAGAAGAACAGGUUUACAAGUUGCCUAUCCCAGAAACCAUGGGGAUAAACAACAAGCUGAGGAAUCAAAAGCUUCAUCUCCUCAGGCGAGUCUUCUGUGACAAACCAGAAAGUCAUCACGUAUGGAGAGAUGACAAAAGGUUCUUAUCACUAGCCUUGAACGAACCAAUCUUCAGAAGCCACCUCGAAAGAGAACUAAAGCAAAAGCUGAAGGAACAGAUGCCCACUAUCAAAAGUGGAAAUCAAUCAUUCUACAGCCAAGCAGAAGACGAAGAUGAUAAUGCUGAGCUAGUGGGACAGCUGUAAAGAAGACAGCUGAAAGAUGCUAAAGCAUCAAACUUUCGGUGGCCUUUGGCACACCAUGUAUUCAG
rnacentral:misc_RNA from 1 species